AAAGCCUGGAUCUUUGCACGGAAGACCAAUUCUACUGCCCCACAAAGUAUCCUUCAGUUUGCCUUCCACGUGUACUCCUCUGCGAUGGCCAUGAGGACUGCUUCGGCAGCGCGGAUGAGUCCCUGUGUGGUGUGUGUCCCGAGUUCUUCUGCGGGAACCAUGGCGUCUGCUCGUGGAGACAGAACAAGAGGAGCCCUGUUUGUAACUGCACCAAUGGCUAUACGGGAACACGCUGUCAAGUGUUGAGAAAGACUGCACCAAAAGGAGACGAGGAGUCGCUGAAGGUUUCCGUUAGAACUGGCCCCAUCGUGGCCGGAGUUCUCGUCGUGCUGGCCAUCUGCCUAACUGGAGCAGUGAUUGUCGUCAUCCUGCUGAGGAGAAAACGUUCAAUUCAGAGCUCGGAGACACUCCUCCCCAGAGCGGCAUAUGAUGCCUCGAGUCAAAGGACAGAAUUCAUUGAAUGACAAGGAAUCUCACAUCACAAGGUUGGCUCCUGGGAAGUAAAGUGCUUUUCCACGCACAGGAUAUUCGUUUCUUUAAAAAAAACUAUUUAUAUUAUGGUGUGAAAAAUA